rnacentral:rRNA from 1 species
CCUACGGGAGGCAGCAGUGAGGAAUAUUGGUCAAUGGAGGCAACUCUGAACCAGCCAUGCCGCGUGCAGGAUGAAGGCCCUCUGGGUUGUAAACUGCUUUUAUCUGGGAAGAAAUCUCCUUUUCUAAGGAAGUUGACGGUACCAGAAGAAUAAGCACCGGCUAACUCCGUGCCAGCAGCCGCGGUAAUACGGAGGGUGCAAGCGUUAUCCGGAUUUACUGGGUUUAAAGGGUGCGUAGGCGGGCUUUUAAGUCAGUGGUGAAAGCUUCGAGCUUAACUCGAAAAUUGCCAUUGAUACUAUUAGUCUUGAAUUCAGUUGAGGUCGGCGGAAUGUGUCGUGUAGAGGUGAAAUUCUUAGAUAUGACACAGAACACCAAUUGCGAAGGCAGCUGGCUAAUCUGAUAUUGACGCUGAGGCACGAAAGCGUGGGGAUCAAACAGGAUUAGAUACCCUGGUAGUCCACGCCCUAAACGAUGAUUACUCGAAGUUGGCGAUACACUGCCCACGCCUCAAGACGAACGACGAUAAGUUAAUACCACCGUCGGGAGGUAACGGUACCGACCGAAGGUUAGUAAACGUUACGAAAUAGAAGUUAGACGGCGUUGAGACGUUGCCGACGGACGACGACGAGGGGAGGAGGAG